CUUAUUUUUAGGUCUAUUUCAUGUGUUUUUCUGUCCGUGAAUGAUAUGCUAGUUAGUUCUUUCUUCUCCUAGUUAUAGGAUGCAAUUCAAAACAUCCACAUAUAGCUACUGUUGCUGAGGUGUUUUGGAAUCAAUCUCUGGUAGUACAUACUUUUCGGCGAUUCAUUUGAUUAACAAAAUCAAGCCGGAUUUAGCUAUAUUUCUUGAACAUUUAAGUUCAUCUCCGUUUUGGUCAAGUUGUUUUUCUGGUGGUGGUGUGGUGGCGCUGGCACCCUCCGUUGGUGUUCUGGUGGCGGUGCACUCUGUUGGUGUUCUGGUGGUGUUAUUCAUUGGAGCUGCUGCCGGCAACCACGGGAGCUCCUGCUGCCGCUGGUGCUGCUGGUAGUCUAGUACGACCUGCUGCCCAUGCCUUCUUUGACCUGGACGUCUCCUACAUCACAACGUCUCCCUCGGGAGCCCUAGUGGUGGAAGUUCAUCCAGGCGGCAACAUUUCGUAAAGAAGGUGUCUUGUAAAGAAGUAUUCAUUGGAGCACUACACGGCCCGUCCUCGUGUGGCUCCGCGGACAUGGUCUAUAGCCAACUGGCUCGGGCGGUGCAGCUUGCCUCCGGUCUGUUAUGCCUUGACCCGGUGGCGUAUGCAGUACUGUUCCAUUUGUUGUAAUACUAAGUAGUCGAAUUGUGUCGUCCAAAUCAGUAGGUGUAGUUCUUUACCUGUGUAUUUCUUUAUUCUCUACUUGCACUUGUCAUCUUUACUACAUUCAUAUACUCCAUGUAUCCUUAAAUACCUAUGCGUUAUGCAUUGUACUAGUAGUUCAUUGUUUGCGAAGUGAUAUGGAUGUCCAAAAUAGAGUUAAGGUCAAUUUCCAACACUUCGGCCGUCGAUUGAGCCCCUUCCAUGAGUAAUUACCAACAUGCUUCAUCUUUUUAAUACAAGGAAUAUUUCAAGUCA